ACCUAGUUGUGUUGGCAAUGAGGAUGAGCCAUCACACAGAGACAGGACUGCAUUGAACAAGCGGUCAGUCUGGUCACUUGGCACUGUUACUAACCAGGCUUACAGUUUUGUAAAAGAGGUUUUAUUCCUAAACAGCUGUGUGUGGAGAUGGGCAUGCAAGUCUCAAACCCACCUCCCUGAAUACGGCGUUGAAGUGUGGGGGAAAGUGAUUCAAGGUUCUUCAGGAGCAGCUGCUGUAGGUCUCUAUACAGCCUGGACAAGCUUCAAGUUCAUGAUUCCCCCUGCCUCAGCGUCCCGUUUUAGAACCUUAGAGACCCUGGCCUUCUCAUCUUAGUCCUCAGGGGCCUCUGUGCAGCUCAUUAAUCUUAAUUCCUUCAUUGAAGGACAUGCAUUGACCCAGGAGUAAUCCUUUAAAGCCAGGGAGCUGAUUGACACAUGAGGUCUAAGGUCAUCCCUUGAACCUGAGCUGGUUAUGACUGUCCCUGGAUAGCAUGUGGUGGAAAGGGUGUCAUGGGGCUCUCAAGGCUGGAUGGGAAGAUUGCAAGCAGUCCUCACCUUGCUCACUGCAAACUCAUUGCUGGAGUCUGGAAUGCUCACAGAAGAAACACAGCUAAGCUGAGCCUGGUCCACGGGCCUGACUCCCCACCCUCAGGAGAAAGCGGGAGGAUCAUGCCACAGGAAGAAGACUUAAAGGGAUUAAAGGAGCAGACAGGAAAUCCUCUGAUCAAAAAGAGGCUGGGCAUAAUGGCACCCACCUACAAUCCCAGCACUGUUGAAGAAGAAGCAGGAGGAUCACAAGUUCAAGGCCAGCCUGGCCUGUGUGGCCAGACCUUGCCUGAAAAGGAAGAGGGGGCCGGAGAGGAGGUUCAGCAGGUGAAGGCACUGGAGGACAAGCCUGAUGACCUGGGCUCAAUAGCUGGACUCUGGGGGGCAGAAGGGGGGCUCUACAGGUUGUCUGACCUCCACGCGUGCACAUGACACACACACACACACACACACACACACACACACACACACACACACGUGUGAAGAAGUUUUGUUUUGUUUAGAAAAGUCAGAAGGCUGCUAUAACCGUAUGGACACUAUUAGGUUGGCUGCAAGUGCACUGAGCAGAGAUUACAAAACAGGUUACCAGCAGCAAAAAGGCCACAACUAUAUUUGGAAGAAGGAAGAGACUGACCCAGAGCUUGGGGCGGAUGGUGUAACAGCAACAGAUGACCAAGAGGAAGCAGGACUUCGCAACUUUCAUCGUGUUUGUCUUUUCAACCAGAAGAAGAUAGGAUUAAAAUGACUUAAGAUAGCGGUUAGGGGCCGGGGUCAAAGCGACUGCCAGCACAAGCAAGGCUGAUUGCUCCCCAGAAGAAAGAGAAGCAGCAGCAGCAAGCAAACCAACUAACAAAAGACGAGUUUGUAGUCAAGAGGAAAUGGAGUCCUUGAAGGAGGGGUGAGGGCACUAACCCCAUCAAAAUGUUCUAGACCACAGACUUAGACCGGGGCCUCCCUCUAGAUCCCGACAGAAGCUGUGUGCAGCCUUGCAACCAUUGUAGACAAACUUGGAGAGAUUUGAAAAAACAACAACAGUGAGGAUGACGACUGCUGUUCUGCCAUCGGUUCUCCAGGACUGAUGGGAGAACUCUGAGGGCUCCCUUUGCUUUCUGCCUUGAUCUCAGGAAGAAAUCAAGUCUUCCGGGAAACGCAGGUGACAUUCAGAAACAUGAGCAGGGGCACAGCCGUUUGGUGGCUCCCCGACGGUUUGAACAUUAGCCAAGGGUGGUGGUGCCCACCUGGAAUCCCAGCACCUGAGAGGCAUGGCCAGAGGAGCUGCACCUUCAGAGCCGGCCUGGACUAGGUAGGAGACUCGGCUUCCAAGCCUACCAAAUCAGGUGGGCCUGCUCCCACAGGCCUGAACUUCCAGCUGCUCAGGAGGCCAAGGCAAGGGAACACAGCUUCAAGGCCAGCCUAGACUCAGGACGAUUCAAGAGUAUGCUGGGUGACUUAUCAGGGCCCAGCCUCAAAACAAAACAGCAAAGAUCAGGAGUUCAGAGUCAUCCCCAGUGACAUGGCGAGUUCAAGACCAGCCUGAGCUAUUUGCCUGAAAAAAAAAAAACAAACAAAUAAAUAAGCAAACAAAA